rnacentral:tRNA from 1 species
GCAGUCGUGGCCGAGAGGUUAAGGCGAUGGACUCGAAAUCCAUUGGGGUCUCCCCGCGCAGGUUCGAAUCCUGCCGGCUGCG